rnacentral:rRNA from 1 species
UACGUAGGGUGCGAGCGUUAAUCGGAAUUACUGGGCGUAAAGAGCGCGCAGGCGGUCGUUCAAGUCGAGUGUGAAAGCCCCCGGCUCAACUGGGGAGGGUCACUCGAUACUGAUCGACUCGAAGGCAGGAGAGGGAAGCGGAAUUCCCGGUGUAGUGGUGAAAUGCGUAGAUAUCGGGAGGAACACCAGUGGCGAAGGCGGCUUUCUGGCCUGCUCUUGACGCUGAGGCGCGAAAGCUAGGGUAGCAAACGGG